rnacentral:rRNA from 1 species
UGAAGACCUUACCGGAUUAGCUGAGAGGUGGUGCAUGGCCGUCGUCAGUUCGUACUGUGAAGCAUCCUGUUAAGUCAGGCAACGAGCGAGACCCACGUCCACAGUUGCCAGCAUACCCUCCGGGGUGAUGGGUACACUGUGGAGACCGCCGCUGCUAAAGCGGAGGAAGGAAUGGGCAACGGUAGGUCAGUAUGCCCCGAAUCUCCCGGGCUACACGCGGGCUACAAUGGUUGGUACAAUGGGCAUCUACCCCGAAAGGGGAAGGAAAUCUCUUAAAGCCAAUCGUAGUUCGGAUUGAGGGCUGCAACUCGCCCUCAUGAAGCUGGAAUCCGUAGUAAUCGCGUUUCAACAGAACGCGGUGAAUACGUCCCCGCGUCCUU